CACUCGCGCUCACCGACUUGUGGGGAACUCACACCUGACAAAGGACCUUUCUUAUGGGGAAAGUUCAGAAUUGUGGGGAACUCUCUCGUUCCCCACAAAUAUGGUCAUGGGGUUUUUUGAAUUCUACGUGUUCUACUGAUAAUAUUUAUUCGAUUUGUGGUCAUUUUUGAAAAAAUCCCCAUAAGUCCGUAAAAUUGACUCGCAGUAAUUUUCUCACUGCACCGUAAAACGAAUGUUUGAGGAUGCUGGGAAAUGUUCAUUCGGAACGCAGCGGAAUUUAAACUGGUCCCCAUAUGAUACCAAUUUAUUGCGGGCAAUGGCUGCUCCGAGAAUAUGUGGUUUUCGGGUUUUCACCACAAGAGCAAAUUAUACAACUUUAUUCUUGAAAAUGUUAGAGACUGAGACUUGGAGUCAAAGUCAACAGACACGCUUGCAUGGACAUGAAGGAUGUAAAGAACUAGAGUAUUAUAACUGAAAGCAUUUUGUCUGGAUUUGUGUAUGGAAACAGAAGGAUUUAGUAUUGGUAUCCUGAAUUUGUCAACUUCUAGCCAAGAUCCUGUAGGUAAGCUGAAUGUGGAGGACAGAUGUACACACAAUACUAGAAUAGAGGGUAUUAUCUCGGUACCUUAAAACUCCAAACGACAGGGAGAAGAAGAAAACUGCAUAUUUCCGAUGUAUCUUCACAGCAACAUGACCCAAAGCACUACCAUUAAAUUUGAAAGGAUUUGAUUUGACAUUAAGG